GGCAGGUUGCCCGAGUGGCCAAUGGGAGCGGACUGUAAAUCCGUCGGCUUACGCCUACACAGGUUCGAAUCCUGUACCUGCCAC
rnacentral:tRNA from 2 species